rnacentral:misc_RNA from 1 species
GAUGAAGAACGUAGCGAAAUGCGAUAAGUAAUGUGAAUUGCAGAAUUCAGUGAAUCAUCGAAUCUUUGAACGCACAUUGCGCCCGCCAGCACUCUGGCGGGCAUGCCUGUUCGAGCGUCAUUUCAACCAUCAAGCCCCCAGGGGCUUGUGCUGGGGCCCUGCGGCUGCCCGCAGGCCCUGAAAACCAGUGGCGGGCUCGCUAGUCACACCGAGCGCAGUAGCACAUCUCGCUCAGGGCGUGCGGCGGGCUCCUGCCGUGAAACCCCCCACUGUAACCCCAAAGGUUGUCCUCGGAUCAGGUAGGAAUACCCGCUGAACUUAAGCAUAUCAAUAAGCGGAGGA